UCUAUCAAGUAAUAGUCUCAUUAUAAUAAAAAGGUAGCCAUUUGCAAAUAAGGCUGUCAACAGAAGUAAGUGGCAGUGUUUAUAAACAAUAUUUUUUCAAAUACUUUCAUGGUGUUAAUAUUACCUAAUAUCACACUCUGCUGCACACUUCUAACAAUAAUAACAAUUAUCUUACAAUUUGCAAUAUAACAGGAUCAUGUUGCAAUCAGAAAUAUAAAUUAGGUAUGAUUGAUUUUAUUAUUUAUUUCUGAAUAGCAUUGCUAUUCAUACCUACUUAAUGUGCAGGUAACUCAUUCACAGCCUUUAUCAAACGAAAGACACAUUAUUGGUAUCUAUGAUAUCGACUAACGCAUCACUUAUAUGGUAGAUGAAGUUAUGAUAUUAUCAGCAAAACAAAUGCAUAUGUAAGAAAGAACACAGCAACAUGGCAUCUACUACCACAGCCAAAGAUUAUCAAACAAAUUAACCUCCCAAUUGUACCACUCUCUCUCAUACAUCCCAGCUCUUUCAGUUCCCAAAAUGGAAUUUCAUUUCAUCCCACACACUUACAAUUCUUAUAGCCAUCUUGUAUCAAUCUACAUCAGUAUUGUCCUUCUUCAACAUUUUUUUUCAAUUGUGUCAAUCAUAAUCAUGCCAUCCUCUAGCCACAAUAUGCUGCUUCUAUUUUACUUCUCAUUAUAUUAAAUCUUUGGUGAUAUGGAUAUUGUUUACUCAUCAUUAUACUAAGAAUUUUCUUAUUUUCCUAUACAACAUGCCAUGAAAAGCAUUUUCUUCUGUUUCCUUAACUCAUUCCAAAUUUCUCAUUCUUACUCACUCUUACACACAUUCUGGCUCACUAUUAUGUGAAUGUGGGUGUGUUAGCUGUUUACAUCACUAGCAUAGCUUUCAGAUAUUUUCCUUACCAUAGUUAGUAUACCUUCAUUUUUGGGUUCACAGUAACUUCUGAACCUCAUUAGUCAUUAUGUAACAAUGUUAUUCAGUCCCAAGAGACAAAAAUAUCCAAUUUAUGAUGUAAGUCCAGUUUGUAUCCAUUUAAUGAACUGGAUAAAGGAUUAGAAGACUGAAAAAACAAAAUGUCAUUCUCACUUUUAAAAGUAAGAGAUAUUACUGCUGCUAUGUACAACCAAAUUAAUUUUCUUCCUCAUCAUUUCUGCCGACAUCUGAGAAAUAUCCCUCAUAAGUGCACAAACUGCGGUAAGAUACAGUGUAUUAUGUGAUGAGUAUGUUAUGUGAUUAGUGGACUUUUAAGUUGCCAACAAAAAGAUUUCAAAAGAAAAUUAUGGAGACCAAAGAUUUAAUUUGUAUAUCAAACACUUACUAGGACAUCUAAUGAUGUCAUUUAUGUGAUCUCUAUAUCUGGGAGAUAAGGCAGCUCUCUGUAUGAAAAUAUGAAAUCUUUGGUCUGCUUAUAAGUAUGAGUUUAUCUUUGAGAAUAUUUCUUAUAAUCACUGAGGUGAAUGUUCAUUUUUACAAAGUUUUCACAACAGAUACAGACUUUGAAGCUUGAUGAGUAUUAAUAAUGUGUCUUUGAGCCAGUGGUUUGCAAACUGAUCCCCAAAUGGUAUGUGCUACUCCCCUGUUGGUCCCAUCCUUUCUCUUGUGAAGCAGAAAUAUGUAUGGUACUUGCAGUUUUUCAAACAUGAUCAUGUCAUCCAUUAAUAUGAAGAAAACAAAUUAUAUUCCAUUAGGAAAGAGGAAUGAAAACCAAGAUUUCCAACUCGCACUGGAUGGAAAUGAGUUACAAAGGGGAUGAUAUACAAAACUUUUAGGAAUGUGUGUUGAUCAGGACUUAAACUGGAAAGACCAAGUAAAUAAACACGCCCAGAGACUUAGUUCUGCAUGUUCUGUUCUGAGGAAUGAUUUUAUAUAGUUUGUUCCUCAGAUGGUGCUAGAAUGACUUAUUUUCAUUACUUCCAGUCUUUGUAGUUUAUGGGAUAGUUUUUUGAGAUAAAAUUAAUAGUCAGUUAAAAGAAAUUUUUACUUUACAGAAAAGGCCUAUUUGAAUAUUGUCACAUAGCUCUACUAGGUCUCACUGAAAGCCCCUGCUUAAAACAUCUAGUUUGCAUACUGUACCCUCCCUGUACAUACACAGAUGUGUGCUGAUGAUAAGAGCUAGACUUGGUGACCUGCAAACCAACCAGAGUUACCACUGUCGUAAUACUCACAACUCUGGUCCCUCCAUAUUUGACAAUUGAAGAAACUCAUACUCAAAGACAUGUGAGCUACUUUGGUUUCAUUCUUUAUAAUGCACUGCCAAAUGACAUGAAGUGGUUUGAGAAGGAAAUGGUUUUAGGGAAGAGUUAAAACCAUUUCUUGUUGAGAAGUGUUUCUACAAUGUAAGUGAAUAUGUUAGCUUACAGGAAUACUUGGCCACCAUUUACUGUUGAAUUCAUUUGAUUCUGUGCUGUGUUUCUCUUAGCAAAACAAUGUUUCUGCUGUUGGUUUUCUGUUUUCUCUGUUUCAGAUGCAGAGCAAUACACCUCCUCAGAGAAGCAAUCUGGUGCUAGAAGUUCCAGUUAUAUGAUUGAUUUACUUCUUGUGCAUAUUGCAGUCUCAAUGUAGACUAUGUAUUUGUGACUCCAUUUCGAAUCAUGUACUGAGAGAGGUGACUAUGACAAUCUUAA